GCUACUCACCUGAUGUUUCCUGCAGCUGUGCCUAAAACCAGCUGAUUUGCAUGUACCCAAAGCACAGUAAACUUACAUGAGGACUUUUUCAUAGUCAGGUCACACACUGUGCUGGAGUCAGCCUCUCACUGAUCACACAUAGACAUGAUUGUUCCCACUCACCUCCUGGGGUGGCUGCUACUGUGGCUUAUAGGUGCCAAAUGUGACAUCCAAAUGACACAGUCUCCAUCCUCCCUGUCUGCAUCUGUGGGAGAAAGUGUCACCAUCACAUGUCAAGCAAGUGGGAGCAUUUAUGGUAAUUUAGCAUGGUAUCAGCAAAAACCUGGGAAAUCUCCUCAGCUCCUGAUCUAUAAUGCAAACAGCUUGGCAGGUGGGGUCCCAUCGAGGUUCAGUGGCAGUGGAUCUGGCACACAGUAUUCUCUCAAGAUCAACAGCCUGCAGCCUGAUGAUGUUGCAAGCUAUUACUGUCAACAUUAUUUUGGUAUUCCUCCCACAGUGAUUCAAGCCAUGACAUAAACCACUCAGGGAAGC